rnacentral:rRNA from 1 species
UACGUAGGGGGCAAGCGUUGUCCGGAUUUACUGGGCGUAAAGCGCGUGUAGGCGGAAGCGAAAGUCCGGUGUGAAAGCCCCCCGCUCAACGGGGGAAGGUCGCUGGAAACUGCGCUUCUCGAGGGCGGCAGAGGGAAGUGGAAUUGCUGGUGUAGCGGUGAAAUGCGUAGAGAUCAGCAGGAACACCCGUGGCGAAGGCGGCUUCCUGGGCCGCGCCUGACGCUGAGACGCGAAAGCGUGGGGAGCGAACGGG